ensembl:snoRNA SNORA74 Small nucleolar RNA SNORA74
CUCAGCUGUAGGCAACUGCCUGGGUUGCACUGUACCUAGGCAAGUGUUCCACUGCUGGGAGAAAAGCAGCUAAUAGCUGGCAGGCAUCCUGGGCCUGAUUAA